CUGUAAACGAUGUCGAUUUGGAGGUUGUGCCCUUGAGGCGUGGCUUCCGGAGCUAACGCGUUAAAUCGACCGCCUGGGGAGUACGGCCGCAAGGUUAAAACUCAAAUGAAUUGACGGGGGCCCGCACAAGCGGUGGAGCAUGUGGUUUAAUUCGAUGCAACGCGAAGAACCUUACCUGGUCUUGACAUCCACAGAACUUAGCAGAGAUGC
rnacentral:rRNA from 1 species